rnacentral:tRNA from 1 species
AAGAAUUUCAGUUUUGGGUAUUGAUAGCGGGGUAAAUGGACCUCUUCCCUG